ACGUCCGUCGUGAAGAGGGAAACAACCCAGACCGCCAGCUAAGGUCCCAAAGUCAUGGUUAAGUGGGAAACGAUGUGGGAAGGCCCAGACAGCCAGGAUGUUGGCUUAGAAGCAGCCAUCAUUUAAAGAAAGCGUAAUAGCUCACUGGUCGAGUCGGCCUGCGCGGAAGAUGUAACGGGGCUAAACCAUGCACCGAAGCUGCGGCAGCGACGUUUAUGCGUUGUUGGGUAGGGGAGCGUUCUGUAAGCCUGCGAAGGUGGCCUGUGAGGGUUGCUGGAGGUAUCAGAAGUGCGAAUGCUGACAUAAGUAACGAUAAAGCGGGUGAAAAGCCCGCUCGCCGGAAGACCAAGGGUUCCUGUCCAACGUUAAUCGGGGCAGGGUGAGUCGACCCCUAAGGCGAGGCCGAAAGGCGUAGUCGAUGGGAAACGGGUUAAUAUUCCCGUACUUGGUGUUACUGCGAAGGGGGGACGGAGAAGGCUAUGUUGGCCGGGCGACGGUUGUCCCGGUUUAAGCGUGUAGGCUGGUUUUCCAGGCAAAUCCGGAAAAUCAAGGCUGAGGCGUGACGACGAGGCACUACGGUGCUGAAGCAACAAAUGCCCUGCUUCCAGGAAAAGCCUCUAAGCAUCAGGUAACAUCAAAUCGUACCCCAAACCGACACAGGUGGUCAGGUAGAGAAUACCAAGGCGCUUGAGAGAACUCGGGUGAAGGAACUAGGCAAAAUGGUGCCGUAACUUCGGGAGAAGGCACGCUGACAUGUAGGUGAAGUGAUUUACUCAUGGAGCUGAAGUCAGUCGAAGAUACCAGCUGGCUGCAACUGUUUAUUAAAAACACAGCACUGUGCAAACACGAAAGUGGACGUAUACGGUGUGACGCCUGCCCGGUGCCGGAAGGUUAAUUGAUGGGGUCAGCGCAAGCGAAGCUCCUGAUCGAAGCCCCGGUAAACGGCGGCCGUAACUAUAACGGUCCUAAGGUAGCGAAAUUCCUUGUCGGGUAAGUUCCGACCUGCACGAAUGGCGUAAUGAUGGCCAGGCUGUCUCCACCCGAGACUCAGUGAAAUUGAACUCGCUGUGAAGAUGCAGUGUACCCGCGGCAAGACGGAAAGACCCCGUGAACCUUUACUAUAGCUUGACACUGAACAUUGAGCCUUGAUGUGUAGGAUAGGUGGGAGGCUUUGAAGUGUGGACGCCAGUCUGCAUGGAGCCGACCUUGAAAUACCACCCUUUAAUGUUUGAUGUUCUAACGUGGACCCGUUACCCGGGUUGCGGACAGUGUCUGGUGGGUAGUUUGACUGGGGCGGUCUCCUCCUAAAGAGUAACGGAGGAGCACGAAGGUUGGCUAAUCCUGGUCGGACAUCAGGAGGUUAGUGCAAUGGCAUAAGCCAGCUUGACUGCGAGCGUGACGGCGCGAGCAGGUGCGAAAGCAGGUCAUAGUGAUCCGGUGGUUCUGAAUGGAAGGGCCAUCGCUCAACGGAUAAAAGGUACUCCGGGGAUAACAGGCUGAUACCGCCCAAGAGUUCAUAUCGACGGCGGUGUUUGGCACCUCGAUGUCGGCUCAUCACAUCCUGGGGCUGAAGUAGGUCCCAAGGGUAUGGCUGUUCGCCAUUUAAAGUGGUACGCGAGCUGGGUUUAGAACGUCGUGAGACAGUUCGGUCCCUAUCUGCCGUGGGCGCUGGAGAACUGAGGGGGGCUGCUCCUAGUACGAGAGGACCGGAGUGGACGCAUCACUGGUGUUCGGGUUGUCAUGCCAAUGGCACUGCCCGGUAGCUAAAUGCGGAAGAGAUAAGUGCUGAAAGCAUCUAAGCACGAAACUUGCCCCGAGAUGAGUUCUCCCUGAGACUU
rnacentral:rRNA from 1 species